GGGUUGUGAGGUUAAGCGACUAAGCGUACACGGUGGAUGCCCUGGCAGUCAGAGGCGAUGAAGGACGUGCUAAUCUGCGAUAAGCGCCGGUAAGGUGAUAUGAACCGUUAUAACCGGCGAUUUCCGAAUGGGGAAACCCAGUGUGAUUCGUCACACUAUCAUUAACUGAAUCCAUAGGUUAAUGAGGCGAACCGGGGGAACUGAAACAUCUAAGUACCCCGAGGAAAAGAAAUCAACCGAGAUUCCCCCAGUAGCGGCGAGCGAACGGGGAGGAGCCCAGAGCCUGAAUCAGCAUGUGUGUUAGUGGAAGCGUCUGGAAAGGCGCGCGAUACAGGGUGACAGCCCCGUACACAAAAGCGCAUGUGCUGUGAGCUCGAUGAGUAGGGCGGGACACGUGGUAUCCUGUCUGAAUAUGGGGGGACCAUCCUCCAAGGCUAAAUACUCCUGACUGACCGAUAGUGAACCAGUACCGUGAGGGAAAGGCGAAAAGAACCCCGGCGAGGGGAGUGAAAAAGAACCUGAAACCGUGUACGUACAAGCAGUGGGAGCACAGGUUUACCUGUGUGACUGCGUACCUUUUGUAUAAUGGGUCAGCGACUUAUAUUCUGUAGCAAGGUUAACCGUAUAGGGGAGCCGUAGGGAAACCGAGUCUUAAU
rnacentral:rRNA from 1 species